rnacentral:rRNA from 1 species
UGGGGAAUAUUGCACAAUGGGCGCAAGCCUGAUGCAGCCAUGCCGCGUGUGUGAAGAAGGCCUUCGGGUUGUAAAGCACUUUCAGCGAGGAGGAAGGGUAGUGUGUUAAUAGCACAUUGCAUUGACGUUACUCGCAGAAGAAGCACCGGCUAACUCCGUGCCAGCAGCCGCGGUAAUACGGAGGGUGCAAGCGUUAAUCGGAAUUACUGGGCGUAAAGCGCACGCAGGCGGUUUGUUAAGUCAGAUGUGAAAUCCCCGCGCUUAACGUGGAACUGCAUUUG